rnacentral:rRNA from 1 species
UACGGAGGGUGCAAGCGUUAAUCGGAAUUACUGGGCGUAAAGGGUGCAUAGGUGGUUUAAUAAGUUAUCUGUGAAAUACCUGGGCUUAACCUGGGCAGGUCAGAUAAGACUGUUAGACUAGAGUAUGGGAGAGGGUAGAGGAAUUUCCGGUGUAGCGGUGAAAUGCGUAGAGAUCGGAAGGAACACCAGUGGCGAAGGCGUCUACCUGGCCUAAUACUGACACUGAGGCACGAAAGCGUGGGGAGCAAACAGG